rnacentral:tRNA from 2 species
CGGGCCGUGGCGCAGCUUGGGAGCGCACCAGAAUGGGGUUCUGGGGGUCGUGGGUUCAAAUCCCACCGGUCCGACCA